UUUAGUCUUCUUCCUGCUCUGCUGCGCUGGUCCUUCUCUCUACGAUCGACACUUUUCUUUGCUUUCCACCACGAGCUUUAGCAAAAUCAUCCAUUAUUUCUCAAGUGUUGGCAAAAACUACUAAUGAUAGGUUUCUGAUUUUGAAGAAUAUGUAAAGUCUAAGUUCGCCAUGGCCUGUUCACUCAAGGAACGAAGAUAUUUCAUGAGUCCCAAACAGAUAAGUAUCCUAUUCACUAAUAUCUUUAUUAGAUCUUCUAUUCAGUUCGGUAUUAAUGUAGUUUGUGCUAGGGUUUGUGAAUUUUUUAUGUUCUUAGCAGUAAAUUUGCACUUGAAUACCUAAAUACUUCAAAUUAGAACCAAAAUAUAUGUAUAUAUACACGUGUACCUGAACAUCCAAAUCUUUAAGUUAACAUGCAAUUACUUUAAAGUAUUUGUUUCAGUACUUUGCCUACUGGAAUGCCGUAAUUAAUUUUGACAUUCAAUUAAAUUUUUGCGUUUGUAGGAAAAAUGCACGGUUCUACAUAUUGAUGUCACAACUGAACUAAAUAUGUAUAUGUUGAAUGUGUAUUGAUUAGUAUAUAUUUUAUUUUCAAUGUAUGGUUAGUUCAAAAAAAAAAAAAGAGAGACUGUUUUAAUAAUGUGAUAAAUUUUAUAAAUGUUCUUUUUUUAAAAAAAAGAAAAACUUUUUUUUGGCAAUUGGUGAUCAUUAAAUUUGGAUGCCCUUGUAAAUAUUUUUUUUCCAUAAUUGUAUGUGGUAUGACACUUUAAGAAUAUAUGUUUCAGCUAAAAAUAAAUAAUAUAUGCCUGUGUUGAAUACAUCUUGAUUAUCUCUUUAUUGUUUUCAACUUAUAUUUAUUUUGAGUAAAAAAAGUCACAAUUAUCAUUUUUCUGUGUUAGUUUAAAAAAGCAAAUAGUUGGCAACUGAUGAUCAUACAACUCUUUGGACUUUAUUAUUUUUGCAUUGUGAAGAAGUUAAUUUAAUCAGUUUUGCCUGUGUUAGUGUUGCCUGCCAAUAUAUUGGGGUCAGUCUGAAUAAUUUUUUUGGUUAGUGGAUUCCCAACUGCUGUUUUGCCUAACAAUUUGUGUUAUUGUUGAAUAAACAGUUGCUGGUUCUUUUGCAUUUGAGCUCCAUUCCCAACUGCUUUGCAUCUUCAGACAGAAUUUUAUCUAGUAUCCUGCAAAAAUAACCAUACACAGAUUAGGCAUAUUUGGAUAGAUUUCGGUUGAUCCUUUUCUCAGUUUUUAAGAAUUCCUUGUGCUGAAAUGGUUGGCCGGUUUACUUCAUCACUUUGCAAAUGCCCUGUAAUCCUUUUUCUUUAUAUAUCUAAACAAACCUUUAGGCCAGCAAUGCUUAAUAUAACAAAUUGAAAUAGGAUCCAAUUAGGAAGCAUCUGCAUAUACUACAUUUUUUUAUUUAACAAAUAAUCCAAACAUUGAUUCUAAUUUUGUAGUCCUUAGAUCCUUAAUCUGUCAGGUCCAGCUGCUUCCUCAAUUAAGAAGUCCAUUAAUCUGGAAUGUUUUCCAGCAAGGACUUUUUGUGGUGGGGAAUAUAACUUAACAACUCUGCCUAUUGCCCUAUUAUUUCUCAAUUCAUAAAAAAAGGAUAGAGUUAACAAUAAAGAUUAAAAACAGAAAAUAGAAAAUAGUAAUUAAAUUACAGUUUAUUUGCUUUAAAAAAAUAUCCAAAAAAAAUAUAUGUACUAAAUAAGUCUUCAUCAUUUACUGUUGCAGCAUCUCUCUGAAGGAUUCAGAUGAUUUGAGCCAAAACAUGAAAUUAGAGAAGUUGUUUCUUUUACUUUCUUUAACCAUGGUUGAGUAAUUGAACUUAAUUAGAUAACAAUGGUUAGAUGUUUUGUAUGUAUAGUAGUUUGUUAGUAAUAAGUUCUUAAUUGAAUAUACAGUGCCAUCAACAAAAGCACUCCCAUACUUCCAAACAUCCUCCUUCAGAAUAGUUGCAUGUAUGUAUGUACCCUAUAUAAUACGCCGUAGCAAAUAAUAUUAUUGGAGAUUGAAGAGGCAA